rnacentral:misc_RNA from 1 species
UGUGAGGGAGGGAGGAUAUACGAGGCUCCCCACAUUAUGGUGAAAUACUGCGAAUGACAUAAGUGAAAAAAGAACAUAUAAAUUGUGGCUUUACAUAUCUAUUCACGGAUGAUAAAUGUGGAGUAGAAACACGGAGUGACGGUUGUUAUAUGAGGAGCUGUUUGACCGUCCGUGUCGAGUUUCUUGAUAUUUUUUGAAGACGUGUGGGAGGCGGCGAGAUGACCAGCUGACAUCUCCUGCUGGACCACACUGCCCACACCCUCUCCUGGUUGUGAUGGUGGCAGGUCGAGGCUAUAAAUGUUAAAGGCGAAAACCGACGUGAAGGUAGACCCAAACCAGCCACGAUGAAGACCAACGCUGCAGAAUACUUCAGUAGCCUGUCUCCGCUCAAAGCAGCAGGACAGUCACCUGGGAGCAGAGCGUACGAGGCCCACGUACAAAAUGGCAGGUCCGGCAGGUGUCACUGCUGUCCGUACGGCUACCAUAUUGACCUCGACUUUGUGCGCUACUGUGAAAUGCUCACACAGGGCUCCAAGAACGACAACCCCACACUCCGGCAGCUGAAGAAAAUGAAACGUGCUCGUCGGAGGCAGACCAAGUCCAUGGAGGUGCUGCUUGGUCUGUCUCCGGGGAAAGAAAACGAGAUUCCAGACCAGCAGCUUCCUCAGACUAAACUGGAAAUUAUUGAGGAGCCAGUGAAAGUCGUUGAUACCUUGAACAGAGAUGUGUCGUCUAUUGUACGACGAACUCAAUCUCUGCGAGAGCGAACUCCACCUCCCCCUCCUCCCAGGCGAUGCACAACUCCCAUAAUGUCUGGACCUCCUCCAGACGUUAUCAACACAACAAACUCUAGUUCUGGGUUAAAUAAUAGCUCCACUUUGGAUGCAAGUGAAGCUCUUCAGGAGGCAGUUAUGGAUUUUGAGGAAAUGCUUGAAAACUCCCGUGAGAAACGUCUGGUCAAGGAAAAAUCGGAGACCCUGCCACCCAACGUUCCUUCUCUAGACCUGUUACACCACACUCCUCCCCCCCACACUCACCCGACCAGCCCCAAGUCAGGGGUCGGGGUAUCAAGAUCACACUCUCUCCCCCGACAGUGGUUUAACAGGUCUCUCUCCCCCCUGUCUUCCCCUACUACCUCCUCCUUAACCUCACCCACACACCACCCUUCCUACGGCACUGGUGAGGGCAGUACACAGAUGGCAGUACUUAAGGUGUUGCGCCGUGGGUGGUCGAGAGCCGCGCCAGGUGGCCAGAAGCCUCACCGUACCUCCGAGAGUCCAUUGCCAGAUGACUCUCCAUUAUUAGGCCGCCAGCGCACCAACUCCACCUCCUCCCUCUCCUCCAUCUCCUCUGCCUCGGGGUACCCUGGUGUGGUGGGCCCCAUGACCCCCGGUGCUACUGCUGGUGGAGGAGCUGUCUUCAACAAUGGAUAUGGUCCUCCUGCUGGUGUGGGAAUAAUACAACAACACAUGAUGCCCCGCCUCUCAGAGACUCUGGCUGCUCUCAACGCUGCCCGGGGCUGUUCUGUCAUGCACCAGGACUUUGAUACUAUGAGUGUCACAUCUGCCAUGUCUGGAGUCAGCACCACCACACUCCAGUCCAUCCGUGACCAGAUGGCCACAAGUCUGGCUCGACUGAAGGAACUGGAGGAGGAGGUGAAGACCAUCCCCAUGCUUCAGAUAAAACUGAACGUACUGAAGGAGGAGAAGCGACUUUUGGUCCAGCAGCUUAAGUCAGGACGUAGAGGUGAAGACGCUGCCUUCUUGUUGCCUCCGAGUCUGGACGGUGACCUUACUGACUUGUCGGAGGAUGAAUUAGAGGGCAGGCUGGUCAGCUUGAGGAAUGUCUACUCCUCAACACCUCGAGCACCGCGCAGACGUAGUGAAUCACCGAUGAGAGUCAACCUUGAAGAGUUUCGUUCUUACCGUCGUGCACGCCGGGGGUCAGUGUCGGAAGGCUCCGAGACAGAGUCAAUUCGCUCGGUGGUUGAGGACACUCCACUCUUCAUAAAGGAAGUUCAAGAUCACAUCACGGAGAGAAGACUGAGUCAGGAAACGUCGAGAGAGACGCAGACAGCUCAUAGCCAUGAUGCAUCAUUGGAAAAGAGAUUAAUUCACAGUUUGCCGAAUACUCCCACGGUUGUGCGAAAAAGUACAAGAGAUGCAGCAACGAGCUGUCGAGUCUUAACCAGAGAUAUUGGAGUUUCUCACGUGGGUACUCGAACAAGAACGGUCGGACUGACGACUGAUCGAGUGGAUGUCGAGAGAAAAAAGGAAAUUAAACCCAAACCCUGCAUGCAGUGCUAUGAGAGAAAUCGUAAGACUUAUGAAAGCAAAGGUACUGGGACACCAUUAACAUCACAGUCGGAGAAAUUGAGAAAGCUUAGUAUUAGCAGUGUGUCACUGGAGAGCGUAGAGCCGGAUGAUGUAGACCCCGAACACAGGGACCCAUUAGAGAAGGAAGGCAGCCCCAAGAAUACCUUCUUACAAAGACUAGGCAGAAAGUCAGCCAUCAUAAGCCGCCUCUCAGAGCCUCAGUUGGCUCCUCCGGUUCUCACAUUUGACAACUCCACAAACACUGAAGUUAUAUACAGAAGAGAGAAGCUUGUCAACACCAGCUUAACCAUGAGUGACUUGUUUACUAAAGCUGAAUUAAAUGAACAUUUAGCUGUAGCCAAAACAGAAUGGGAGACUACAAGAGAAAGACAAGAUCUCCUCAGACGUUUAGCAGAGUCCAGCAAGCCUCUCACAGUAGACAAAGGUGCCCAGGUCACAAUUAAUGAUCCAAGCUUCACCAAGACAAAGUUUCAGCCACUGUUACAAAGUGUUGGUGUUCUGGCUAAACCUUAUACUGUGGAUGUUGGUGUUGGGGCAUCUAAAAUUACUGACAGUUCAUGUGAGAAAUGUGCCAAUGUUAGAACCCGAUCUGUUGGUUCAGGAGAGGGGACCACUACGGGUCUCCUGUGUGAUAAAUGUGUGUACACUAAGACUAGAUCUGUUGCAGUAGGUGAUUACAGAUUAAAUGAUAAUUGGUGUGAAAAAUGUUCAUCAGUUCAAACUAGAUCUGUAGGUUCUAGUAAUGACAGAGUUUGUGAUAGAAUUUGUGAUCGCUGCAACAACCUUCACACUCGCUCAAUUGCUGUUGGCACCAUCCCAGUCAUUGAGAGAGUGUCGGAGAAAACUAAACCCAAGCCGUGUAGCACAUCAUCUACAUAUGUUCAAACCAGAGGGCCAGAAACUCGUACCACAGGCGUAAAUACCGUGCCCCUCAACCUUAAAAAGGAAGAUAUUUAUUCUGAGACCACUGCAAGUCCUCCAAGCCCAGCACUUACCCCAGAGGUAGAGCGUCGGUCGUACGGUAGUUCUGGGGUACGAGUGUGUGACAAGUGCCACGAAACCAUUCAUUCGGUUGCUAAAGACAUUGUCAACACCAGUGGUACAGCGUCUGCCACCAAUCUUCCACCAUUGCCUCCGCAAGCAUCUAAAAUUCCACGCCUAGUCGACCUUACCAAGGUGGAACCUAGAUUAGAAUUGCCAAAACAAGAUUUAAAGACCAGUGCCAACCUUACCACUAGUCUUGGAUCAAGUCUGUCAGAGACACAAGUGUCCAGCCUCAACAGCAGCUUCAUAGAAACGAAGCCAUCAUCACUACCAGCUCACAGCACAACAAGUAUAGGAACUGUACAGACCAAGCCAUCAAAAUUUGAGCAGCCAUUAAAUGCAUCAAGUGAAAAUUCAGCGGCAAAGUAUAGCCAGUCAUCAUCUUCUCAUGUCACUAAAGUUGAAACUUCAAAAUCAGUCUCAGUAACCACUGGAAGUCAGGACUUGAAGUCUGUUGUAUCAUCACGAAAAACUGUGACAACUGAGAGUGAGAGUGUGAAGCCAGAACAACCCCCAGUACUGACGGUCACCUCUGCUGGCUCAUCCAAGGCAUCAUCAGGCAUCCCUUCUCUCAGUACCUCUCCUCAGACAAAACGCGUGCCGUACACCCGCCAACAGACGUACACCAAGUACACCGAGGGGUUGGUCAACCUCGGGUUUGACGAACGCGCUGAUGCUGAGGCUAAAACUCAGAGGGAAGCAAAAAAGAUCGAAUCAACCAAGAGUCUGCCAAACAUCGCGGAAAAUAAUAAUAACUUGACCAAGAAAGUUGAGGAAGUAAAGAAACAGAAAGAUGUAGAAGUGAAAGAGGAAGUCACAACAGAUGCUCUUUGUUGCAGGACCAAAGAGCCUGAACCGGUCAUCCAGGCAAAGAAAGAAAGUGAGUCUCGCUCUCGCUCCUCCAGUGAGUCAGAGGCUGAAACCUGUGACGAGGAGUCCUUGAUGGGGGCGUCUUUCACCUCCCAGCCUGAGGAUCAUGCUGUCCCCUCAUCAUUUCAGAGUGUGUCAUCACUGUACACAACUACCAGUGACAAGAGCAGGAAGAAGUCGGUACCAUCAAGGGAGAUGAAAGCGGCACUGAAAGUUGUGAAUGACUCUAUUGGAAAGCCAGUUCGGUCAGGACAACAACUUACCAAUGCCCUCAAUAUUAUCCAGAGAGAAUGGCUUAAGACAUCAAGUCAGAAGGAUGCUGACCCUCAUGCUGUAGAGGACUACAUGGAUGUGUUUGAGGAGUACUCAAAGGGCCUACUGCAGCGUGUUGUUAACCUCAGUGAUGUUAACGGGAACACAGCCAUGCACUAUGCAGUUUCACAUGGAAAUUUUGAUGUUGUGUCUGUGCUGCUGGACUCCAAAGUGUGUAACAUUAACCAUCAGAACAAAGCAGGGUACACCGCUGCCAUGCUGGUGUCCUUAGCACAGAUACGCUCUGAGACUCACGCCAGCGUUGUACAGAGACUCUUUCAGCUCGGUGACGUCAACAUUAAAGCCAGUCAGCACGGCCAAACUGCACUCAUGUUGGCAGUGUCACACGGACGACUAGACAUGGUCCGUAUGUUGGUUGGUGCCGGGGCAGAAAUCAACAUCCAAGAUGAAGACGGUUCAACAGCGCUCAUGUGUGCAGCAGAACACGGCCACCUGGCUAUUGUCAAGUUCCUCCUUGCCCAGCCUGACACUGACCCCUCACUUAUGGAUAAUGAUGGCAGCACAGCUCUCACCAUUGCCGUAGAGGCGGGCAACAAGGACGUGGGUGUGCUGCUGUAUAAACACAUGAACUUGUCCCGAGGAUCUUCACCAUACUCCUCUGUUAGGUACCCCCCUCUGUAGGUGAGCCUCUGGACUGCCCUGAUGAACUGUGUGGCAUUGAGAAGUAUAUAAGAAUCAAGAGGUCUCGUACGCCCACCAUGAGCAGGUCAUCAGUGACUCCUCCUCCUCGCUCCUCGGCGCCGUCCUCGCCCGGCC